CAGUCGCCGCGGUAAUACGGAGGGUGCAAGCGUUAUCCGGAUUUAUUGGGUUUAAAGGGUCCGUAGGCGGAUCUGUAAGUCAGUGGUGAAAUCUCACAGCUUAACUGUGAAACUGCCAUUGAUACUGCAGGUCUUGAGUAAAUUUGAAGUGGCUGGAAUAAGUAGUGUAGCGGUGAAAUGCAUAGAUAUUACUUAGAACACCAAUUGCGAAGGCAGGUCACUAAGAUUUAACUGACGCUGAUGGACAAAAGCGUGUGGAGCGAACAGGAUUAGAUACCCGUGUAGUCCCUGUCUCUUAUAC
rnacentral:rRNA from 1 species